CCUACGGGUGGCAGCAGUGGGGAAUAUUGCACAAUGGGCGAAAGCCUGAUGCAGCAACGCCGCGUGAGCGAUGAAGGCCUUCGGGUCGUAAAGCUCUGUCCUCAAGGAAGAUAAUGACGGUACUUGAGGAGGAAGCCCCGGCAAACUACGUGCCAGCAGCCGCGGUAAUACGUCGGGGGCUAGCGUUAUCCGGAAUUACUGGGCGAAAAGGGUGCGUAGGUGGUUUCUAAAGUCAGAGGUGAAAGGCUACGGCUAAACCGUAGUAAGCCUUUGAAACUGGGAAACUUGAGUGCAGGAGAGGAGAGUGGAAUUCCUGGUGUAGGGGUGAAAUGCGUAGAUAUUGGGAGGAACAACAGUGGCGAGGGCGGCUAUCGGGACUUUAACUGACGCUGAGGAACGAAAGCGUGGGGAGCAAACAGGAUUAGAUACCCGGGUAGUC
rnacentral:rRNA from 1 species